AACACUGUUAACCUGCGGUACCUGCGGAAGGAUCAUUACGAAAAGAGUUUGAAAAAAACUCAUUAAACCCAUUGUGAAUCUAUCUAUUCAGUUGCUUCGGCAGGCGGCCCCAGGGCGGGACCUAUGCCUGUAUUUUAGCAGGUGUCUGCCGAAGGAUUUUUAAACUCUAGCUGUUUAAUGGUCUUCUGAGUACUAUAAAAAAAAGUUAAAACUUUCAGCAAUGGAUCUCAGAUCGGAAGA
rnacentral:misc_RNA from 1 species